CCCUUAGAUGUCCUGGGCCGCACGCGCGUUACACUGAUGCAUUCAACGAGCUUAUAACCUUGGCCGAGAGGCCUGGGCAAUCUUGUUAACGUGCAUCGUGAUAGGGAUAGAUUAUUGAAAUUAUUAAUCUUGAACGAGGAAUUCCUAGUAAACGCAGAUCAUCAAUCUGCAUUGAUUACGUCCCUGCCCUUUGUACACACCGCCCGUCGCUACUACCGAUUGAAUGGCUUAGUGAGGCCUCCGGAUUGGCUUUGGGGAGCCGGCAACGGCACCUCAUGGCUGAGAAGUUGGUCAAACUUGGUCAUUUAGAGGAAGUAAAAGUCGUAACA
rnacentral:rRNA from 1 species